rnacentral:rRNA from 1 species
UACGUAGGGUGCAAGCGUUAAUCGGAAUUACUGGGCGUAAAGCGUGCGCAGGCGGCUAUGCAAGACAGAUGUGAAAUCCCCGGGCUCAACCUGGGAACUGCAUUUGUGACUGCAUGGCUAGAGUACGGUAGAGGGGGAUGGAAUUCCGCGUGUAGCAGUGAAAUGCGUAGAUAUGCGGAGGAACACCGAUGGCGAAGGCAGCCCCCUGGGCUGACACUGACGCUCAGGCACGAAAGCGUGGGGAGCAAACAGG